CACUCUGCUCGGUUCUUGUCUUGGACCUUGUUGACAGGAAGGAGAGGGAGAGUUUACAGUCUCUGGUCUGUGUGUGUGUCCAAAUAGGUUAGCAAAAUGGGUAAAGGAGGGAUGUCUCACGGCGAAAGCAAAGAUGGACAGCAAGAGAAUAUGGCUGCUUGGCUUCUUGGUGUCAAUAACCUCAAGAUUCAGCCUUUCAAGCUCCCUCCUCUCGGACCCCAUGAUGUUAGAGUAGCGAUGAAAGCUGUCGGUAUCUGUGGAAGUGAUGUUCAUUUUCUUAAGACCUUGAGAUGUGCAGAUUUUGUAGUGAAGGAGCCGAUGGUGAUUGGCCAUGAAUGCGCUGGGAUCAUCGAGGAGGUUGGAAGUGAAGUUAAGCAUCUUGUGCCUGGAGACCGUGUGGCACUGGAACCAGGCAUCAGUUGUUGGCGAUGCAACGUUUGCAAAGAAGGUCGAUACAAUCUAUGCCCUGAGAUGAAGUUUUUUGCAACUCCACCGGUACACGGUUCUCUAGCCAAUCAGGUGGUGCACCCUGCAGAUCUGUGUUUUAAACUACCAGAAAAUGUGAGCUUGGAGGAAGGGGCAAUGUGUGAGCCCCUAAGUGUUGGUGUUCAUGCUUGUCGUCGGGCUAAUAUUGGUCCAGAAACAAAUAUGCUAGUGAUGGGAGCAGGGCCCAUAGGCCUUGUCACACUGCUAGCAGCUCGUGCUUUUGGAGCACCCAGAAUUAUCAUUGUGGAUGUGGAUGACUAUCGUUUAUCUGUUGCCAAGGAUCUCGGUGCUGAUGGGAUUGUUAAAGUUUCAACAAAUAUUCAGGACAUACCUGAGGAAGUGUUGCUGAUCCAUAAAGCCAUGGGAGCUGGAGUGGAUGUCACUUUUGACUGUGCAGGCUUUAACAAAACCAUGUCAACAGCACUGAGUGCCACUCGACCGGGUGGUAAAGUUUGCCUUGUGGGAAUGGGCCAUAAUGAGAUGACUGUCCCUCUUACACCAGCUGCAGCGAGGGAGGUUGAUGUCAUCGGUGUAUUCCGGUAUACGAACACAUGGCCACUGUGUCUUGAAUUCUUGAGGAGCGGUAAGAUUGAUGUGAAGCCCCUGAUAACCCAUAGGUUUGGUUUCUCACAGAAGGAGGUUGAAGAAGCCUUUGAAACUAGUGCUCGUGGUGGUAGCGCCAUUAAGGUCAUGUUUAAUCUGUAAAAUCAGCUGUAGCCUGGACGCUACGAAAGCUGCUUCUAUGAGAAAAUUUGAAUAAAGCCGUACAGAUAAGAUAGUUAAAAAGCUGGCUUCAUGAAAAGUCAUGUAACGCAUUGGCUUAAUAUAAACUUCUUGGUG
rnacentral:misc_RNA from 1 species